UACGGAGGGUGCAAACGUUGUUCGGAAUUACUGGGCGUAAAGCGUGUGUAGGCGGCCGUGCAAGUCGGAUGUGAAAUCCCCGGGCUCAACCCGGGAAGUGCACCCGAAACUGCAGGGCUCGAGUACCGGAGAGGUUGGUGGAAUUCUCGGUGUAGAGGUGAAAUUCGUAGAUAUCGAGAGGAACACCGGUGGCGAAGGCGGCCAACUGGACGAGUACUGACGCUGAGACACGAAAGCGUGGGGAGCAAACAGG
rnacentral:rRNA from 1 species